AGAGUUUGAUCCUGGCUCAGGAUGAACGCUGGCGGCGUGCCUAACACAUGCAAGUCGAGCGAUUCUCUUCGGAGAAGAGCGGCGGACGGGUGAGUAACGCGUGGGUAACCUGCCCUGUACACACGGAUAACAUACCGAAAGGUAUGCUAAUACGAGAUAAUAUACUUUUAUCGCAUGGUAGAAGUAUCAAAGCUCCGGCGGUACAGGAUGGACCCGCGUCUGAUUAGCUAGUUGGUAAGGUAACGGCUUACCAAGGCGACGAUCAGUAGCCGACCUGAGAGGGUGAUCGGCCACAUUGGAACUGAGACACGGUCCAAACUCCUACGGGAGGCAGCAGUGGGGAAUAUUGCACAAUGGGCGAAAGCCUGAUGCAGCAACGCCGCGUGAGCGAUGAAGGCCUUCGGGUCGUAAAGCUCUGUCCUCAAGGAAGAUAAUGACGGUACUUGAGGAGGAAGCCCCGGCUAACUACGUGCCAGCAGCCGCGGUAAUACGUAGGGGGCUAGCGUUAUCCGGAAUUACUGGGCGUAAAGGGUGCGUAGGUGGUUUCUUAAGUCAGAGGUGAAAGGCUACGGCUCAACCGUAGUAAGCCUUUGAAACUGGGAAACUUGAGUGCAGGAGAGGAGAGUGGAAUUCCUAGUGUAGCGGUGAAAUGCGUAGAUAUUAGGAGGAACACCAGUUGCGAAGGCGGCUCUCUGGACUGUAACUGACACUGAGGCACGAAAGCGUGGGGAGCAAACAGGACUAGAUACCCUGGUAGUCCACGCCGUAAACGAUGAGUACUAGCUGUCGGAGGUUACCCCCUUCGGUGGCGCAGCUAACGCAUUAAGUACUCCGCCUGGGAAGUACGCUCGCAAGAGUGAAACUCAAAGGAAUUGACGGGGACCCGCACAAGUAGCGGAGCAUGUGGUUUAAUUCGAAGCAACGCGAAGAACCUUACCUAAGCUUGACAUCCUUUUGACCGAUGCCUAAUCGCAUCUUUCCCUUCGGGGACAGAAGUGACAGGUGGUGCAUGGUUGUCGUCAGCUCGUGUCGUGAGAUGUUGGGUUAAGUCCCGCAACGAGCGCAACCCUUGCCUUUAGUUGCCAGCAUUAAGUUGGGCAUUCUAGAGGGACUGCCAGGGAUAACCUGGAGGAAGGUGGGGAUGACGUCAAAUCAUCAUGCCCCUUAUGCUUAGGGCUACACACGUGCUACAAUGGGUGGUACAGAGGGCAGCCAAGUCGUGAGGCGGAGCUAAUCCCUUAAAGCCAUUCUCAGUUCGGAUUGUAGGCUGAAACUCGCCUACAUGAAGCUGGAGUUACUAGUAAUCGCAGAUCAGAAUGCUGCGGUGAAUGCGUUCCCGGGUCUUGUACACACCGCCCGUCACACCACGGGAGUUGGGGGCGCCCGAAGCCGGAUUGCUAACCUUUUGGAAGCGUCCGUCGAAGGUGAGAUCAAUAACUGGGGUGAAGUCGUAACAAGGUA
rnacentral:rRNA from 1 species